rnacentral:rRNA from 1 species
CAAAAACAUCACCUCUAGCAUUUCCAGUAUUAGAGGCACUGCCUGCCCAGUGACAUUAGUUAAACGGCCGCGGUAUCCUGACCGUGCAAAGGUAGCAUAAUCAUUUGUUCCUUAAAUAGGGACUUGUAUGAAUGGCCACACGAGGGCUUUACUGUCUCUUACUUCCAAUCCGUGAAAUUGACCUUCCCGUGAAGAGGCGGGAAUACGACAAUAAGACGAGAAGACCCUGUGGAGCUUUAAUUAAUCGACCCAAAGAGACCUUAAUAACCAACCGACAGGAACAACAGACCUCUGCCAUGGGCCGACAAUUUAGGUUGGGGUGACCUCGGAGAAUAAAACAACCUCCGAGUGAUUUAAAUCUAGACUAACCAGUCGAAAGUAUUACAUCACUUAUUGAUCCAAAGCUUGAUCAACGGAACAAGUUACCCCAGGGAUAACAGCGCAAUCCUAUUUCAGAGUCCAUAUCGACAAUAGGGUUUACGACCUCGAUGUUGGAUCAGGACAUCCCGAUGGUGCAGCAGCUAUCAAAGGUUCGUUUGUUCAACGAUUAAAGUCCUACGUGAUCUGAGU